rnacentral:lncRNA from 1 species
CUUCGGGAUCCCAGCUGACCAGCUGGGGGUGGGGCGUGGCGGAGUGGCCACGUGGGCCGCGCGGAGAACGCGCCAGGCUCAUCACCUGGAUCAUCGUGCCUCAGUUUCCCCCUCGGCAAAUGGGGCUUCAGCGGCUCGCGACGCACAUUGAUGGAGCGUAUGUCCAGGCGCCGGUGCACCGCAAGGAGCAAAACAGACACAGUUCUUGGUCCUAGGGCUCACGUCCCGGGGCGAAGAGGAUCCUCCAUAAACGAUCAGGUAAACACAUGGGUGUCAGGGAAGGCUCGCCGCUGGGAGACCGCCAAAGUGACCCGAGAUGGAGUCUGGGUGGCCUGCUUAUUAGGGGGGCACACCUGUGCGAGGACGGGAGGGGAGGGAGCAGCAGGACUGGGCAAAGGGAGAAGCUGAGCCACAGUGCGAGCCGGACGCACGGGCCACGUUGCGAGGGCAUGACCUGGGGCGAGGCAGCCCUGGAGGAGGGGGCAGCUGAAGGUGUCUGCUGACCCCACACCCAACAGCUCGGGUAACAGGCCUUACUGUCAGAGCGAUCUGGUUGCCACGUCUCUGUGGCCCUCAGAGAGACAUCAUGUUUUCUUUUUUCCCUGCACCUUUUUGUUUUGAAAAAUGUUCAGCAUACAAACAAGUUGAACGUAAAGUGAGCACGCAGAUUCCUAGGUUCAGCAGGGGUGAGCAGCUGGCCACGUUUCAUUUCUCUCCCUCUGUGUUUAUAUAUGUGUAUUUUUCUUUUUUCCUCCCCACUCAGCCCCCACCAUUAGCUGCAGAUACCGUGAUACCCCCCUCCCAAAUACUUCGGUAUCCAACUCCUUAAGAACAAGAACCUCCUAUAUUACCAAAAUACAAUGACCACAUCAGUUCAAUGCUGUUAUCUAUUUUCCAUCUCCAGUUUCCCGCGGUUGUCCCAAUAAUGCCCUUUACAGCCCUUUUGUUAUUGUUGUUUUGUUUUGCUUUGUUAAGACGGGGGUCUCUGUCACACAGGCUGGAGUGUAGUGGCACGAUCACAGCUCACUGCAGCCUUGAACUGCUGGGCUCAAGCGAUUCUCUUCCCUCACCCUCCUGAGUAGCUGGGACUACAAGAGCACACCACCACACGCUAUUUUUUUUUUGGUAGAGAUGGGUGGGGGGGGGGGUCUCACUAUGUUCCCCAAGCUGGUCUCGAACUCCUGGGCUCAAGCGAUCCACCCACUGUGGCCUCCUACAGUGCUGGGACUACAGGUGUGAAGCUCUGCCCUACAGCCCUUUUUUAAACCCCAGGAUCUAAUCAGGGAGCCACACUGUGCAUUCAGGCUAUGCACUUUUUUUGGCAGGAUAAUAUACUACAUAGAGCAUGUUUUAUCUUGUUAGAAGGCUGUCAACCUGAAAUAACCAAACAGGUCAGAAUUUAGCUUAAAGAGAGUUUAUUUAAGUGUAUAAAGUUUGAGGACAGGCUGCCUGGGAAGCACAGAUUUUAAAGAAUGGAAAUCAGUAUUUUGAACUGUAGAUGUUUGGGAUCAUUUAUGUAGACAAAUUUUAGGGAAGUUUAACAGAAUUUUAACAUCUUUUUAUGCAUAAAGUUAUAAUCUGACCAGCUGAGGUGGUCUUUUUUAGGUGGAAGGUAUAUUUAACAUUUUACACUGAAGAUGUAGGAGUCUGGUCUAAGUACGGGAUAAUAAGAGACAAUCUAUAAUAAAGAUCAGUAAUUAAAAGGGGAGCAGGCCUGGUCUGUGGUCUCUCCUAGUCAUUUAUAAAACAUGAAUGAUAAAGAAAAACAGCCUAUAAUCUAAAAGACAAAAUUACAAACAUGCUAUGUGACCCAGUUUCUAGGACUUAACUUCCCUCUUGACAUAAUAAAUUUAUUUAUUUUUAUUUAUUUAUUUAAAGACAGGAUCUUGCUCUGUUGCCCAAGUUGACCUAAUAAAUUUCAAGAGUCCUAAAAUUUUCUUUUUUAAGACAACAUAUCACUGUGCUCCAUGAUUGAUAGUGGGGCUCCGUGGUUUCUGCCAGAAGUCUCCAUUUUUCCUUUUGUUAUUAAUGAGUAAUUGGUGCAGUGAUACUUUGAGACUGUAAAUAUGCUGUUCCCAAAUGACCUUUCACCCAGUGAACUAGCAUUUAAUGAGGAAUCUUGCCUGAAUCCCUUAUUUCUUGGGACAAAGUGUUAAUUUUCUAAUUUUAUCAUUCCCUCAACAUUUAUUAAUAAAUUAUUUAUUAGCAAGCAUUCUUCUGUAGGGAUUUCCUCUUUGAUUUAUUUUUUAUCAGUAUGCCCUAAUGGAUUUAGCUGACCGAGUUAUGAUCCUUACUGUAUUGUCCUGUAUUUAGCUAACGGGAGCCCCUUCAAAUUGGCUUCUUUUUUCAUAUGACAUGUAUCUACCAUCCUUUGAGUACUUACUUAUUUUCUGGGACAACCAGAUGUUCAAGGAUCCUCCCCUUCUCUGCCCAGGCCUGGCAUCAGCCAUUGUUGGCAGGAGAUAAUUUGAGCAGAUCGUGUGGAUUUCAGAAGCAUGAAAACUACUGUGAGGAUUAAAUAAGUUAGCAUGUAUAACAUUCUGGUGCUUUUGUGGAGUUUCCAAAUUGUCAUGAACAAGCACUACUUUAUAGACAGGAAAAAAAGUGAUUCAAAAUGUGAAAACGGGUAUAUGUACAUAAGGUAAAAAUAAAAUCCUAAGCCCCCCAUUGACCAAAGGGACCUUCUCCUGACCAAGGGGACACCAGAAAAACCUCAACACUGAAUUCCCAGACAUGAUGGGAUGGGAGGUCAGAUGCGCCUGGUAAUAGCCCCCUGUUUCAGAGUUUGGACACCACAACUGGCCGGCAUUCAUGUUAAAACAGAGAUCGUAAGACUGACAGAACGGACUCUGUGGCAAUAAGAUACCAAAUUAUAAACAGGACCCAAAGCCAUGCUAGGCGAGGGUAAGUCAGGCAACCCACACUUAGAGAAUAAACUAUAUUCUAAGAGCCACAAGGCUUUCUGUUUCUCUAUUAGCCAAACACACACUAGCCUUGGGAUAGGGAAUAUUAAAACAAUUGCAGCUCCACUAGGUGCCAACUAACUGACUCUGUUUCACCAGCCAUAGCAGCUGUGAUUGGACAAGAGACUGAUUUCAGUGACUUUCUCCUAAUAAGAGACCACCGACCAGCUGACCAUGCCGACCAGCUGACCCGUUAAUAGAGAGAGAUGAUGCACCUGCAUGCCUUUGUGUCCUGAAAAGACGUUUUGCCAUAAAGGCCCUAAUUGUAAGAUGUGUAAAUGUUAAGUCUCCACCCCAAAGUGAACAUGGGUCAUAUAUUACAUGCUUUGCUCAAUAAGAGGGCAUGUGUCAGGACCACCUUCAUGAAUAUUCAUAGCUCCUCCUGUUACCUGUUGAAUAUGUAUGUUUAGCCAAUCCCUUCAGCAUAGCGCUCCUGCCCCAACCCCUCCUCCUUGGACGUGCCUGUCUCUGGCCUUGGCUGGAGACAGAUUCCCAGCCUCAGACAGAUGGCCGCCACCUUGCAGGCUACGACCGUUUACAAGAAAUAAAGCCUUCUCUUUUUCCAAAUUUGUGAAUUGUGUGUUUUUAAACUAACAUGAAUGACAGAAGGAAGGAUGGCCUCUUCAAGCAACGAUGAUGAGGCAGUUAUUUAUAUGGGGGAAAAAUGGAUUCUACCGUGGGUGGACUAAAGAGGAAAUGUGAAAAAAUAAAAAGUGAGAAACCGCUGGUAGUGAAUCGGUGCAAGCGCCCUGGAGAAGAGACUUGGCAAUAUUUAGUAAAGUCAAACAGCACGAACCCUACUACUCUGCAAAGCUGCUGCAGGAACUGGCGGAACGAGGUCACGAAGGAAACCUUGCCGGAAAGGAAAUUGCAGCAGUGCCUGUGUGCGUGCGUCUGUUGGCAAAACGCUGCUAAUAACGUCAAUGCCCAUCCGCUAUUGAAUAAACCUGCUUUACUGCCACUAUGGAAUACCAAACUGCAGAAAAAUAAUUAAAAGAACGUAUCUCAUAUUACAGGGGAAAAAAUCAAGUUGCAGAAGCACAUUCAAGUGCAGUUCCUGUAGUUUCAGAAAAGGCAAACAGUGCGCUACCUGAGCUACUUACACACGUGGUACAGGAGUGAAAGGGGCAGGAGAGGGUUCCCAAGAAUUCAGCGCCAUCCGCCCAGGGUGGCGGGAUUCCCAGCACGGAGAAUCGAUUGCUAUCGUCUGCUGUCCCGCGGGCACGAUGGAGC